GAAAAAAAAAAAAAAAAAAAAAAAAAAAAAAAAAAAA
rnacentral:ribozyme from 1 species